AGAGUUUGAUCCUGGCUCAGGACGAACGCUGGCGGCGUGCUUAACACAUGCAAGUCACGGGGGGCCCGCAAGGGUCAACCGGCGAACGGGUGCGUAACACGUGAGCGACCUGCCCAGUUGCGGGGGAUAGCCGGCCCAACGGCCGGGUAAUACCGCAUACGCUUCUCUGGGGGCAUACCUGGGGAAGGAAACCUACGGGGCGAUUGGAGGGGCUCGCGGCCUAUCAGCUAGUUGGCGAGGUAACGGCUCACCAAGGCGAUGACGGGUAGCUGGUCUGAGAGGAUGGCCAGCCACAUUGGGACUGAGAGACGGCCCAGACUCCUACGGGAGGCAGCAGUGGGGAAUCUUGCGCAAUGGCCGAAAGGCUGACGCAGCGACGCCGCGUGGAGGAUGACGCCCUUCGGGGUGUAAACUCCUGUUGCCCGGGACGAAUGCCCCGUUUGCGGGGAGUGACGGUACCGGGUGAGGAAGCACCGGCUAACUCUGUGCCAGCAGCCGCGGUAAUACAGAGGGUGCGAGCGUUGUCCGGAAUCACUGGGCGUAAAGGGCGCGUAGGGCGGCUCGGUAAGCGUGUGGUGAAAGCCCGGGGCUCAACCCCGGGUCGGCCAUGCGAACUGUCGAGCUGGAGCACGGUAGAGGCACAUGGAAUUCCGGGUGUAGCGGUGGAAUGCGUAGAGAUCCGGAAGAACACCGGUGGCGAAGGCGGUGUGCUGGGCCGUAGCUGACGCUGAGGCGCGACAGCGUGGGGAGCAAACAGGAUUAGAUACCCUGGUAGUCCACGCCGUAAACGAUGGGCACUA
rnacentral:rRNA from 1 species